rnacentral:rRNA from 1 species
UACGUAGGGGGCUAGCGUUGUCCGGAAUCAUUGGGCGUAAAGCGCGUGUAGGCGGCCCGGUAAGUCCGCUGUGAAAGUCGGGGGCUCAACCCUCGAAUGCCGGUGGAUACUGUCGGGCUCGAGUGCGGAAGAGGCGAGUGGAAUUCCUGGUGUAGCGGUGAAAUGCGCAGAUAUCAGGAGGAACACCAAUUGCGAAGGCAGCUCGCUGGGACGACACUGACGCUGAGACGCGAAAGCGUGGGGAGCGAACAGG